rnacentral:rRNA from 1 species
GAUGAACGCUGGCGGCGUGCCUAAUACAUGCAAGUCGAACGCAUUGUGGUUGAAAUGAUAUGAAGAACUUGUUCAGAUUUGAUUUUCAACAUUGCAAUGAGUGGCGAACGGGUGAGUAACACGUGGGAAACCUACCUCUUAGCAGGGGAUAACAUUUGGAAACAAAUGCUAAUACCGUAUAAUAAUUAAAACCGCAUGGUUUUAGUUUAAAAGAUGGUCUUGCUAUCACUAAGAGAUGGUCCCGCGGUGUAUUAGUUAGUUGGUGAGGUAAAUGGCUCACCAAGACAAUGAUACAUAGCCGAGUUGAGAGACUGACCGGCCACAAAUGGGACUGAGACACGGCCCAUACUCCUACGGGAGGCAGCAGUUA